rnacentral:rRNA from 1 species
UACGAACGGGGCUAGCGAUGUUCGGAAUUACUGGGAGUAAAGCGCGUGUAGGCGGGCCGUUAAGUCGGGGGUGAAAGCCCAGAGCUCAACUCUGGAAGUGCCUUCGAUACUGGCGGCCUGGAGCAUGAUAGAGGCGAGUGGAAUUGCGGGUGUAGAGGUGAAAUUCGUAGAUAUUCGCAGGAACACCAGGGGCGACGGCGACCCGCUGGAUCAUUGCUGACGCUGAGACGCGAGAGCGUGGGAAGCAAACAGG